AAUACGGAAAGUUAUAAUAAACCAAAGUAACAUUAUACAGAGAAAGCUGCAUAACACUAAUGGACGCAAAUGGGAAGAUUUUGUUGGAAGGAAAAGAUAAGUUACUGUAUGAAACCUUAUUUUCUUGUUAUUCUGUAAGUACAGUUGUAAUAUUUACUGAAGACCCCUUGGAUAAAUCGAGUGUGUUGAUAGUCUUUAUUAUUAUCGAUUAUUCUAGAGUUGUUUUUUAGCGCUUUCUAUCAUGUGAUGUAGAUCUCGGGGAGUUAUGUUGCGUCCAGACUUUUGCUAUACAUUUUGACUGGUAUCACCAAUCAAGAGUGGUAAUAUAAUAGUGAAAUAUUUCACGUAAAAUAUUUCACCAGCGAGGAAGGGGGCUGUCACAGAGAUGUCUUCAUUCUGUCAUUAAAUGUAAGUCUAAAAUGACCGAAAUACCAGACUUGAGUGUGCUGCUGGUGUUACAAUGUAUUCGAUAGGUGUAACAGUGGACUCUUGUAGGUGUAUACUAAUGUAUCUACUAGGGAUUCAAUAUAACAACUCAAUGCGUAAUGUAUUUCACUUGGGUUGUCAGACUCAAAGGGCAAAGGUACUGCUAUAAGUUUUUUUAAAAAAAAAUCCUUAUUGUGAUGUUUGUAUCGCAAAGUAAAAUGUUGUGGUUUGUUUUAAACAAUUCAUUUGUUAACGUGUUGCUAGUAGUUACAACAAUGCAGGUCAAUUCCUGGAUAAGAUUAAAGUCUAUUUGUCUUGACCGUGAUCUUUACGAUUUUUUUUUGUUUGUUUUAAUUGCUUGAAUACAUUUCAGUUUACAGACUAUUUGUUUGGUGUUAUUAUUUCUUUUCUUUUUUUUUUUUUGCAUUAAAACUUUAACUUUGACGUUAUUUGUAUGCAAGGAAAUGAAAUUACAAUAUUUAUCAAGCCCAACCACUUUAGUGUCUUGCCUGACUGUGAGUGUGUUGAAAUCGGUCUUGUUCGUUUCCAUUGGCUGCAGAGUAUCAGCAUGGUUUAAUUGGGAUUCUCUAACACUUUGUUUUUCCCAGCCAGGAGAAUAAUCACGGAGUCACGCCAGUUGACAGGGUGGCAGAGGGUGGUGUAGUAAUGCCAGCAUGCUCAGAAACUGUGGCUGAGGAGGCUGUGGCUGUGCACCAAGAGAGCGAAUCUAUCAGUCUAACACAGCUGGAGACAGUGGCAGCUGGCCCGGAGCACACCGCACAUACAGCUUUUGCAGGAAGUGUUACUGAAGCCACAGUAACCCAGGAAGAACACAAGCAGCCUGCCAGCAGUGCAGAGUAGUUUAGUCUACGUUUAUGCUGUUUAAGGUCUGUUUUACAAUUGGCUGAUUCCCUGGCGUUCUGUAAUAUAAGGUGGAUAUGGGGUAAUGAGAUUUCUUGAUUUCUCUACCGGUUUGCUGCGUCGCUCAAAAAACAAUCAUGAAUCGCUUCAUCUUUCAAGGAAAGCUCCCUCGAUGAAUGAUCAAUCAGGACUAAAUCUGGGAAAUUUCCUGUGAUUGAGAAAAUAAAUCAAACUGCUUGCAUUGAUAAUUUGCAGCAUGGAAAUGGACCUGCAGGGUUACUCAAUGAUGCAGUGCAGGAAGACAAAAGCGGCUCCAUAACAGAGGCAGCAGGUGAAGAUUACCGCAGUCUUGCCAGCAGUUCUAACAGAUGAUGAUGUAAGACUUGCAGAGGAGUCUGAGAGGAGUGAGAGCUGCACUACUGUGGAAGAAAAAGCCGUAGAUACCCAAGCAUUUCAAAGUCCAGAUCAACUGGACAGUGUUUUGGAGCUGCCUGCAAAGUUAGCCUCCUGUUAUGACUGGCUCAAGCAGUGGAGGUUUACACAAAAGAGUAUACAAAUGGAAACUGGAUGGAAUUGCUAAAAGGACACAUGCAGCUUCUAAAGAGAAAGUGGUUGGCUGUGGUGGAAUCCUCCAGUGCAGAAGAGACAAGCCGUGUGUGAUGAGAUCUUCAGGAAUGAAGAGGAGGAGCACAGUUUACCAAUGAGGUCGAGAUGUUCCUCCUGGGCUACGCACUGGAACUGACAAUUCAUGUGCACAGGCUUUACAAAUUUGAAACUGAUGAGUUUCUCACAUUUUACCCUGAUGAUCACAAGGAAGAUUGGCCGGUGGUCUCGCUCAUCACAGAGGAUGACAGACACUACAAUGUCCCGGUUCAAAAGCAAGACACAGCCAGGUUAUAGCUCUUGGCCUUCGCUCCUGCCAUUGCUCUUUCACCUGCAGUGAAGGAGUCAGUCUAGCUUGGCUUGAGCUGCACUGCAGCUGUUAAUAAUAAAAAGGAGACAAGGUGCGUGUGUUGAAACAGGAAAAGAUUUGGAGCUUGUUAAUUACGCAUGUUCUUAAUUUCAGUGUAUGCGUAAGAUCAGUGGGCCCGCGUUUUCGCUAAAUAGUUGCCUGCUAACGAUGUAUUUUUGGAGUCAUUUUUAACACAAAAUUUCUUGACGGUGCUUUUUAAUGUCCCCUGCAGGGAUAUAAUGGAGGCCCCUGUAUGUGACACUUACAUUUCAGAGAACCGCUUAUACACUUAGACUUUGUAAAGAUAUUCUUAAGCCUCCGUAAUUGAGUGUAUCAGAAUACUGGGAUAGAAAGAUGAUCCUGUCUGUAUGUACAGUGUGUACAAAUGGUACAUGCAUUUUACUUGUUCAACCAGUUGUAAUUAAACUUGGUACGAACCAACCUUGGCACACAUUCUUGAUGAUAAUGUCAUUAUCUUUUUGGAUUAUGAUGGUUAUAUCUUCAGAACCGCUCUGACACUUUUUUUUUUUUUUUUUAACUUUGUGUGUGUUUGUUUACAAGAAGUUACUUUGCAGACUAUAAAUAUAUAUUUUUUCAUGGUACUGGCGCCUCAUUGAUUAAUUUAGUUAAGGCUAUAAACUGGGUAUCCCUUUCCAGUUUUUUAGUAUGCAUAGCCCUUUAAGAAAUUCUGUUCUGUGUCUAGUGGAUGUAGGUCAUGAUCUACUUUUUAGUGAUGUUGAUAAUUUUGUAUUUACAAUCACAGCAGGGAUGAUGGAUGAUGCUGACAUUUUUUGUUUUUGUUUUCAAUUACCCUUAGAAAUGUGUAUUUCAGUAUAGUGGAGCGCCCAUGUUCUGUAGCUAGGUUUUGACUUCUAGUAAUAGUAAAGCAUGUUAAGACCCACUCUGUAAAAUAGUCAUAUAUAUAUAUAUAUAUAUUAGCUCAAAGAGCCAGCUGCAUAUAUAUAUAAAAAAUCAUUAAAACAAACAAGCUAUGAUCUGUGCUACUUAAUGAAUUAUGUAAAUGAUUUAUUGCACAAUAAAUUUAUUUUUGUAGUUCCUACAUGUUUUAAAUAUAUGAACUAUGAACUUUA